GAGUUCUGCCUGCUGGUAGAAAGGCCUCUUUGUGUCUGACCGUCUGUGCCUUUCCACCGCUGACGUUUAUUUUCCCCUCAGCUGACCGCUUGGUGUGCUGAGCCGCUGCCGUCAUGCUUCAGCUUUGAGAAAGAAAGAAGGAAAAGAAAGAAAGAAAGAAAGAAAGAAAGCCGAGUGGGAAAAAAAAGAGCAAAAGAACGUUUUGGUUUCAGCAGCUGCAGCUUUCAUUUUCACAACUCUCGAGUGUCGCGUCAGCUCAGCGGCCUCGCCGGCUGAAAGCGGCUUCUAAACCGCUCGGGCCUGUGGCUUCUCCUACGCCAGCUUCAUCUGCUGUUUCGGUGCCGGCCAAGGCCACCCAGAACACGCGCGGCUUUCCUUUCCAUUUUUUGGGUUGUUUCGCAUUUAUCGCAAGGCCAUCGAGCCAAAGCCCGCGAGGCAAUUUCCAUCCGCACGAGACGAGGGAGCACAACGCACAACUUUGACUCCCCGGUUCCGGCCCACACAACACACACGGCGAUCCACCAGCAGAGAGAUCUGUCAGUUCAGUUCGGGUUGCUCCAUUAACACACCGGCGGCCCCCACCCAACCACCUCCACCACCACCACGGAGCAUCUGAUGUGGUUGUUGGGGGCCGGAGAAGAAGCAGCGGUGUGUUUGAGAAAAGACUACUUGUUUGUGUGAGGAACACGGCGGACACCACGGAGCAUGAAGCCCUCUCGUCCAUGUGACCGGACGUCUUUCCUCCAGUGACUCCGGCUCUUUGUCUCCCUCUACAGGAACAGGAUCUCCCAGGAGAUGACGAACAGACGUUUAUGUACCUUUCAUUUCUUGUUUCUUUUCCAUCGACGUUUCUUCGGUUUCACGGUUCCUUUCACGGGCCUCCGAGCUGAGCAGCUCCCCCCCCCCGUGUUCUGUUUGGACCCCUGCUUUUAAAUGCCGCUCUCAAUGGGGGGAGGCAGAAAUCAGUAGUUCUCCCUUUGUGAGGAACACGUUUGGCUCGAUGAGACUUGAGGACGCUGGUGGAUUUCAGUGAUUGCCAUCGAUUUAGACUUCACUCCGUGUCAAGAGGCAAGCAGCGGAUUGUAUUUUGGGGACUCAUUUGUUCUCACACCGCGGGAAACCAAAGGCAGGAUCGGUAUGAGGUGUAAUGCUGCCGGCGGUGGUUCGCCGCUAUCUCUCCAAUUUAAUGCUAUUGAUCCAUUUGCCGAAGAAGAGGAAGCUCCAGUUAAAGCUGGUGAUGAAAUCGAAUCAAAAACAUGAUCUGAAUAUAUGAUCAAACAUCUGAUGUUUUCAUUGACGAUGUAUUUGCAAAGUGUGUUCCCAUUGCGGCCUGUUCUAUUCUGGUUUUCAAAUCAAGACAAACAUUUAAAUAAAAAACAAUUUUAGAUGACAAAGUAAAAGGAUAAAUUCAAGAUAAUUGGAUCAAUAAUGAAAUCAGUAUUGGUCAACGCACAAAGACAUCAAAUUGUUUUCCGGGUUAAUUAGGAGGCACUUCAUACCGAGAACACAGAGGGAAAGACUUUCUUCUUGUGAAAGUAUUCUACUGGGUUGUAAAGAUAAUGAAAGUCAGACACAAUGUGAUUUUUAACAUUAACUGCUUGUGUGUCCCUCAGAGAGUGACGGAUGCCGGUUAACAAAAUGAGCCCCUCGUUUGCCGUAAACAUAACUCUAUUUACCACCAGGCACGAAAAUGUCCUCGUCAAAGUGACAUUAUAAUAGAUUUUUACGUUCCAUCACACUUCGAGUUCACUGUCAAGUGGCGGCCUUUAAACAAGAUGCUAAACAGCAGCACCUCCCUCGGCUUCUCUCCAAACCACUUUCCAUCAUUGCUGUUGUUUCGUUUUCUAUCCUGAAGAUUCAUUUCCUGCGGGAGCCACAUGUUCAACCAGGGGCAAUCGUCAAUCAUCGGGAGCUGUUUGUGUCACGUUGAAAGGCCGACGAAGAAGGAACUAAACAUUCUAUUAGACGAAAUACAACCGAAAAUUUGGAGAAGGUUUAGCGGUGGACAGUGGCCCUGAUGAAAUAACAGCACAAAGGGGGAGUGCUCAUUGUUCAGCUGUCUGGCCUGCAACUUUUAGGAUUUUUGUUUCAGUCUCCCCUUGACAGUUUGUCAUUUUGGACUCCAGCCGGCAAAAAGCUCUAAAGCCUCCAACGUAAACUACAUAUCUGCUCUGCAUCAGGCAGAGUAACAAAGUGGUGCAUUUAGCGGCUAGAGAGCCUGAUAUUUGCCACAGCGGUUGAUUGAGGCAGAGAAAAGAGCAGAGUGAAUAUUAUGAAUGUAUAAACAUUUUGUCUAUUCUCUGGCCGUCCCUCCCUAGAUCGGUUGAAUUUACUGCAAACGGAUUUGUACUCUUUGUUCGUUCAGCUGCCUGCUUGGUAUCUUGCGUUUGGUUCUACGUCGUAAAACGUCUGCUCUGUUUGGUACCCGGGCCGAACUGUCGAGGUGAUGAAAGCAGGAGCCUCACAGCUGGAAAAAGUCUGAAAGGCCGUCUUCCCCUGAAGGUGGUUCCAGCGGCUCCACUACGAAAAUAAAAAAAGAACUCGGUCUCACCGAGAGAAAACUUUAAAAUAAUGAGCUACAACGCACGCUUGGAUAAAAUCAUUACAAACCAAGAACCUAUUUUUUGGAAGUGAACCGAUUUCAUUCACAAGGUUAAAAAAAACUUUUUCGAUGUUGAAUUUCCCUCUUCAUUGCAACCAAAACACAGAAGACGUCCAUUGAAAUCCUCUGUAAAAUGUCAAACAAGUUUUAGGAACAUUCCCUGUGUCAUAAUAACGCAUUUUACGUUUUCCUCAAUCAUUCUACAAAGAAAGAGAACCUCUGCACACACAUUGUUUAGUUUUUGAACAUUUUUUCGUGCAUCAAUAAUAAAACACAAUCUAUUACAUUUGAAUAUUAUUUUAAAUGUAAUAGAGUCUGGCGGCUCUAUUAUCAGAUAUUAUCAGUCUAAUAUCAGACAAUGCUUAUUGGAAUGAUGGGUAUGUGAUGUGGCCAAAUGUCACCUUUUAACUUGGAUACUGUUGUAUUUGCUUAUACUGCAUACAAAUAAACAAGUAUUCACCAG
ensembl:lncRNA